GUAGUCCACGCCGUAAACGAUGAUAACUAGCCGUUGGGAGGGUUUACCUCUUAGUGGCGAAGCUAACGCGUUAAGUUAUCCGCCUGGGGAGUACGGCCGCAAGGCUAAAACUCAAAGGAAUUGACGGGGACCCGCACAAGCGGUGGAGCAUGUGGCUUAAUUCGAUGCAACGCGAAGAAUCUUACCUGGUCUUGACAUACAGAGAACUUUCUAGAGAUAGAUUGGUGCCUUCGGGAACUCUGAUACAGGUGCUGCAUGGCUGUCGUCAGCUCGUGUCGUGAGAUGUUGGGUUAAGUCCCGUAACGAGCGCAACCCUUAUCCUUAUUUGCCAGCACUUCGGGUGGGAACUAUAAGGAGACUGCCGGUGAUAAACCGGAGGAAGGCGGGGACGACGUCAAGUCAUCAUGGCCCUUACGACCAGGGCUACACACGUGCUACAAUGGGAAGGACAAAGGGUCGCUAAGCCGCGAGGUGGUGCUAAUCUCAUAAACCCUUUCGUAGUCCGGAUCGGAGUCUGCAACUCGACUCCGUGAAGUCGGAAUCGCUAGUAAUCGUGGAUCAGAACGCCACGGUGAAUACGUUCCCGGGUCUUGUACACACCGCCCGUCAUACCAUGGGAGUGGGUUGCACCAGAAGUGGGUAGUCUAACUUAGGAGGACGCUCACCACGGUGUGAUUCAUGACUGGGGUAAAGUCGUAACAAGGUA
rnacentral:rRNA from 1 species